AUGGAUGUGGGCUGUCAUGGAUGAAGUCAGUUCACGGUUCACCGGCGCGUCGUCGCGGUGGUCCAGCCGGGCUCUCCGCCGUGCAGUCCGACACUAUAGAGGGUCUGACAGAGCUGGACGAUCUGGAGCGAGUGUAUGUGCCGAAGAGAUGCACCCUGACACCUGACAGGCGGAAGUGCAGAUGGAGUUGAGCGCUCUUAUGGGACAGCAGAAUAACAUAGAAACAAAGAUGCUCACCUUGCAGAGGAUGGGGUGAGUGUACCCAACUUGCAGCUGAUCGAGGGAGAUGCAGUGCAGCUGUCUGGCAUGAUCAGCUUGACAUGCAGUCUGGCAGAGAACGUGAGCAGCAAAGUCAGACAGCUGGACCUCACUAAGAAAAGACUGUACCAAGCAAUUCAGAGGGCAGAU